rnacentral:lncRNA from 1 species
UGGGGGAGGUGGCACGAGCUGUCAGCUUCGAGCAGGAAGCCAACCCAGCCCGCGGCACCCGGAGGGCGAACAGUUGAAUGAAACACACACUUGGUGAGGAUGUUCGGCUUACAGAUGUCACUAAGCUGAAGCCGUGAUCGCUAGGAGCCAAUAAAUCGCGGCUUGCGGCCUUGGACCCCACCGACCUGACGCUCUCUUUCCUCACCUGCGGCCGAGAAGGGAUACGGGAUAAGCCGCUUCUUGGCCGCAAGUCCUGGGAAUACUAUUUUGUGUUUGGAAACUGCCAGAGAAUCACUGAUGAGCCAGUCCAUUGCUCCGAGUACGUUGGUCGUGGUGGGCUCCCUUCCGGUGACUGAGGCAGAAGCCAGGGAGAGCACAAGUUCUGGUGGAAUGAACUUCACCCUUGCUUGGGAAUCAACAUGGGAAAUACAAUAGGGUGCAUUUGAGAAACAGUAUCCCCGAUGUCUACGAAAGGCCAGGCAGGUGCCAAUCACUUUGAUUCGAUUCUCCUAACAACCCUGUCCACAAACUCAGUUUACAGCUGACACAACGCAGGCAGAGAGACGGAAUGAUUUGUCUGAGGUCAUACGGAAUGAUUAGUGCUGCAGAACCGUGAUUUAGACCCAGACCUCCCAGACUGCAAAAUGUAAGGACUUCCCACUAGCAGUAAUCCUCACAGGUCUAAAAUAUCUACUACAUCUGUCACAUAUGUACCACACAAGUGUGCUUUUGAUGAGACUACCAUAUAUUCCUGUAUUUCAUAGAGCAUAACUCAGAGGGAAAGAAGAACCUUGCAAUAUUUCAAGAUUAUUGUAAUAUGUUCAUAUUUAAUGAAGUAUGCAUAAUAUUUAUGUAGUAUUUUAACUCGAAGAGUUUUGUACCUCAGUCUUAUCAUCGUCCGGCUUAUUUACUCUCCCCCACCUCUGUGUGGCCCCAUUGAUGUGGUGAGUCUCUGCUGGCCAUUGGUUGGGUCUGUUGUUAGUAGUCCCAGGUAUGGGUUGGCAGAGCGGGAGCCUCACAUCCUGUUCCCCCAUGACCUGUGUCGUGUUCUACUCCCAUGGUAAG